rnacentral:rRNA from 1 species
CCUACGGGCGGCAGCAGUGGGGAAUAUUGCACAAUGGGCGCAAGCCUGAUGCAGCCAUGCCGCGUGUGUGAAGAAGGCCUUCGGGUUGUAAAGCACUUUCAGCGGGGAGGAAGGCGGUGAGGUUAAUAACCUCAUCGAUUGACGUUACCCGCAGAAGAAGCACCGGCUAACUCCGUGCCAGCAGCCGCGGUAAUACGGAGGUUGCAAGCGUUAAUCGGAAUUACUGGGCGUAAAGCGCACGCAGGCGGUCUGUCAAGUCGGAUGUGAAAUCCCCGGGCUCAACCUGGGAACUGCAUUCGAAACUGGCAGGCUAGAGUCUUGUAGAGGGGGGUAGAAUUCCAGGUGUAGCGGUGAAAUGCGUAGAGAUCUGGAGGAAUACCGGUGGCGAAGGCGGCCCCCUGGACAAAGACUGACGCUCAGGUGCGAAAGCGUGGGGAGCAAACAGGAUUAGAUACCCCGGUAGUC